rnacentral:rRNA from 1 species
UACGUUCCCGGGCCUUGUACACACCGCCCGUCACACCACGAAAGUCGGUAACACCCGAAGCCGGUGGCCCAACCCUUGUGGAGGGAGCCGUCGAAGGUGGGAUUGGCGAUUGGGGUG